rnacentral:rRNA from 1 species
UACAGAGGGUGCAAGCGUUGUUCGGAUUCAUUGGGCGUAAAGGGUGCGUAGGCGGCGCGGUAAGUCGGGUGUGAAAUCUCGGAGCUUAACUCCGAAACUGCAUUCGAUACUGCCGUGCUUGAGGACUGGAGAGGAGACUGGAAUUUACGGUGUAGCGGUGAAAUGCGUAGAUAUCGUAAGGAAGACCAGUGGCGAAGGCGGGUCUCUGGACAGUUCCUGACGCUGAAUAGCGAAAGCCAGGGGAGCAAACGGG